rnacentral:rRNA from 1 species
UACGUAGGGUGCAAGCGUUAAUCGGAAUUACUGGGCGUAAAGCGUGCGCAGGCGGUUGUGCAAGACAGAUGUGAAAUCCCCGGGCUCAACCUGGGAACUGCAUUUGUGACUGCACGGCUAGAGUGCGGCAGAGGGAGAUGGAAUUCCGCGUGUAGCAGUGAAAUGCGUAGAUAUGCGGAGGAACACCGAUGGCGAAGGCAGCCCCCUGGGCUAGCACUGACGCUCAGGCACGAAAGCGUGGGGAGCAAACAGG